rnacentral:rRNA from 1 species
AUUAAAGUAACAAAGGGCACACAAGGGAUGCCUAGGUAGAAAGAGCCGAAGAAGGACGUGGUAAGCUGCGAUAAGCUUGGCGAAGUUGCAAACGAACGUGGAUGCCAAGAUUUCCGAAUGGAGCAAUCUGUAAAGAGUCAUGUCUUUACACGAAAGAGGGAACCGGGUGAACUGAAACAUCUAAGUAAUCCGAGGAAAAGAAAGUAACAACGAUACCCUAAGUAGCGGCGAGCGAACGGGGUAGAGCCUAAACCAUAUUCAUGUCAAGGAUGCAGCCGUUGUGGAUAUGGGGUAGCGGGAAAGAGAGAGAAAGAACUGCAAGCUAUUUCGCAGACGUAAGCAAAGGAACAAGAAAGAUCUGGAAAGGUCUACCGUAGAAGGUGAAAGUCCUGUAUUGGUAGUUUUCUUGCGCUGUAUCUCUUCUCCCAAGUAAUGUGGAACACGAGGAAUUCUGCAUGAAUCUGCGAGGACCAAAUCUCGUAAGGCUAAAUACUCUUUCUAACCGAUAGCGCAUAGUACCGUGAGGGAAAGGUGAAAAGAACCCCGGGAGGGGAGUGAAAGAGAACCUGAAAUUGUGUGCUUACAAGCGGUCAGAGCCACUUUGGUGGUGAUGGCGUGCCUUUUGGAGAAUGAUCCUGCGAGUUACGUUUCAUGGCGAGGUUAAGAAGAACGGAGCCGAAGGGAAACCGAGUCUGAAUAGGGCGCAAGAGUCGUGGAGCGUAGACGCGAAACCCGGUGAUCUAAGCCUGUCCAGGAUGAAGCUGUGGUAAGACACAGUGGAGGUCCUAACCCACCGCCGUUGAAAAGUUGGGGGAUGAGGUAGGUUUAGGGGUGAAAAGCCAAUCGAACCGGGAGAUAGCUCGUUCUCUCCGAAAUGCAUCUAGGUGCAGCCUUGCGUGUUUAAUGAUGGGGGUAGAGCACUGACUGAACUAGGGGGCAUAUAGCUUACUGAAUUCAAUCAAACUCCGAAUACCAUUAUUC